rnacentral:misc_RNA from 1 species
CCGAGUGAGGGUCCCAUGUGGGCCCAACCUCCCACCCGUGUCUAUCUAACACCAUGUUGCUUCGGCGGGCCCACUGGGCUCCGUGCCCAGUCACCUGGAGGAUUUUUCCCUCUGGGUCCGUGCCCGCCGGGGAACCUGUGAACUCUGUCUGAACUAAGUGGGUCUGAGUGCAGAUGCAAAUCGUUA